rnacentral:tmRNA from 1 species
GGGGAUGCUUAGGUUUCGACAGAAAUGGUGAGCUAGGGAUGCAAUACGUAAGGCAUGCGUCAAAUCCAAAAAUAAAAAUAAAUGACAAAAAUGAAGGCCGUUUUGGCCAAUUAGCUUUCGCUUAAUAGAAUAAAGCAAGCGCUGCUAUUAUUUGUUUACUCAUGACGAAUAUUAGUGGUUCAUUAAAGUGAGUUAUAUUAUAAUUGUUCCUAUAAGUUAUAAUGAAUUUGAAUAGGAUUACUAAAGAAAUAUUUGCUGAUUUUAUUUUCUUUAGAAAAUUAACAAAUUAGAUAUUAUUGUAGAUUUCUUAGUAGCGCUAUUUUUGGACAGGAGUUCGAUUCUCCUCAUCUCCACCA